CCAGUAUAUAUCAUGUUUGUGUUUUUUUAACUUCCUGGGGUAUCAAGGAGUCAUACAGCUUUCUGUCAUGGAAAGCUUCCUCAAAGAGCUGAGGAGAGAGUUAUGAAGAUUUACAGGCCUGACUGGACUGACCGAUGGCAGUGGGCAUACUCGGUGUCAGGAUCAGAACCAGAACCACGCAGAGGUGUCACCAUUUGCAAGGACUUUGCCAAAGCCUCACACUGAAGUGGUGCAGAUAAUAACUUGGAUGUACUGAUACCCAUAUGUGAAAGUUUAAACAAUAUUUGCCUGCAGUUAUUCCUGUCUCAGGCCAGUGCAGUUUGUCCUUUGCUUUUAUAUGCACCCACAACAUUUUUUCUAUGAAAGUAAUACAUGUAUUUAGUAGCUAAUUUGAAAAUAUUAAACUUACCCAUCGUUAUUACAAAAAUGGUUUUAGAAGAGGCUAAUCAUCAUUAUGGACUGGUUUUAUAAAGCAUAAAACAGCUAGUUUUCAUCUGCAGAACAGCUCACAUACCAGUACUGGCUUCCAACCUUUAAAAUGACCAAACCAAUAUUCUUGAGAAAGUACUGGGAUUAAUUUAUAUUUAUUUGGAAGUCUGAUAUAGAAUCAUAUGCAGUGUGACAGGCAAAUUAACCUCUGCUGGAUGUGAGAAAAUCCUGUAUUUUAAUGGCAUUGCUCGGAAGCAUACUACGCUGCUGCUCUAUUCAGUUUUAAUACAGCUUUGCAUUGCUUCCUCCUUUGUCAAUCUUCU
ensembl:lncRNA